CCUGUACACAAAAGGACAAAUUUUAAUCAUCUUUCUAAAGUUACAAGUGGCAAGAAAAACUAGUAUUCAAUGAGCAAUUUGUUCUAUUAAUAUCACAUUAACAUGUUAUUUGAGGGCAGACAAUCACAUUACACGUUUCGACAUUAAGAUCAACUAAAUAUACGAAAAGAACACUAUACUUUAAACAAUCCACUGAAAAUAAAAUGGUCCCCAACUUCACAGUACACCCUUGGAAUGCUCAUCUUUAAGGGCCCCAACAUAGAAAUGCUCAUUUCCUGGAAAUCGUAUAGUGAACCUGUUCUUGCCAUGUACCCAAAUAAUGAAAAACCAUAUGUAGGGUUUUUUGACAUGCUACAAGGAAGCAGCAGUUGAAAUCUAAUACCUCAAUAUUGCAUAAGAAAAGGAGGCAAAUAAAGCUUGUUAAGUAUCAUAACAGAUCGUGUAGAACGGGGAAAUAGGAAAUAGCUCAACUUUCCAUCAAACAAUUGUACGGAUUCUGGAGUUCUCCAAGGGAAGGUCACUUCAGUUCUACAAUUUCUCGUUGUAGUAUGCAAAUAUCUUACACGUAAGGUAUCACAUAGUACAGCAUCCAACAAGCAUCUGUAUACUUUGGCAAACUAGCUUGUCUAAUGUCUAGUUUCAUGAUCAAGGACAUAGUAGAUCCCUAUUUAGUGAAACAGAAACAUACUAAAAAAGACUUAUUUCAACCAGUUUUUAAAUUGAUGACUUCCUUCCUUCUUACUCCUUUUUAAAUAAGCGUACAUAAUUUCCACCAUUUUACCAAAAUAAUUAACAUGAUAAUUAAAUUCAUUCCGAAAUUAUUAUUUUUUCCUCCCCUCCACUCACCAUCAGAUUUUACCACCCAGGUGUAAAGUCACUUCCCACAGGUUUCAAAGUGUGUAUAUAUAUAUAUAUAUAUAUACUUCAACCACUUUAAACCAAUGCCAUCCUUUCUUCUUUACUCCUUCACAACAUAAGCUAAAUCUUUACGACAUCUUCCCAGGAUCACUGACACGACAUGUUAAAUUCAUCAAAAACUAUCAUUGCUCCUCAAAAAAAUCGGCAAUGUUCCCCUCUCAAAAAAUCAGCAACCUUCCACCCAUAUCACAGCCACACCUCAUGGCAGCCUCAUUGCUACAACAUUCUUCCCAGGCCCACCAGCUUCUCCUCCAUUGAGUCAUGUGCUCACAUUAGCGUGGUCAUACCUACGUGUACAUACAAGUACAUGUGUACUUGUCUGUCCGUGUGCAUUAUUAACGUACACAUUAACAGAAAAAAAGACAUACAUGCAAAUAUUUGCUUCAAUUACAAUAAUGGUUUUCAUUUCACAACAUAUAGACUUGCAUGAGACGGUGAGUAUAAAUAGAUGAAUUUUUGGUGAAAUUUAAACUAAUGCCUUUUCAACAUAGGCUAACCAAAGAAUAAAAUAGAGUCCCUCUAAACUUUGUUUUAUUUUUUUGAUAGGGAGACCCUCUAAACAUUAUUGCAGGAAAAGAAUAUUUCCACUUUUCUUUUGCCUGGGGCUGGGGGGUUGUUUGUUCCAAUAGCAUUGUUACUCGCUAGGAAAUAACUAAAUAAGCAUCAUCCCAGCAGAAAGCUAGGCACUCAUGGUCACCAUGAAAUAGAAUUUUCAAGAACAAGCAUCAAAAUGGAUCAUAGAAUGGGAUAAAUGCGUGGAGCCAUUAUCCACUUUCCAUGGACAUAAGCUAAAAAUCUUGGGAAUAUUACAGUUACCAAAAAAUAAGAAAAAAUAUUUCCACACCAUAGCUCUAGCAAGCAUGAUGAUAUUUCGCACUUGGUGUCUGUAAUGAUCUAGUAUAUAAAGUUUCAAGUGGGUAUAUUUAAAAGGAUAAGUGUGACGAUUCAUCACGAUAAUCAUAAAUGAUCCAACAGAAGUUCAUAAUAGUUCCAGAGACAUUCCAAAAUUUUAUAAGCGCUGUAUAAAUCACUACUCUUGAAACACAAAUAGAAAAUAAAACAUAUAAAAACAUACAGAGCAAACACAAAAUGCCAUUAACACAACUAUAAUGUUCUGUUUUGGUAUAUCAGUACCUG
rnacentral:lncRNA from 1 species